UAACACCAGCCCAACGUGUGUGUCUCAUCUGUUUGUUCUCACAGGCAGAGGUACCACGAGCUGUCUCGUUCUCGUCUCUCCCUUGAAAAAGAUGUCGGUAGACCACAGCCUGUGAUCCACCCAACGCCUCCCUGUCGCCCCUGGGAGUCUCUGCCUGGAAAAGGAGAGGAAUGGAAAGUGAGUGCAGGGACGGAUGGCAGGCAAGGGGCUCGAUGGGGAGGCUGUGGGGAGACUAGGGGGAAGUGGUGACAUGAGGCCUUUGCCAGUCCAUCAGCGGCCCUGCCAGCUCGCCUCACUGCCGGGAUGCUGAUGUCCUGAUUAAUGGGGUUUCCCUGUCCCGGUCUUAUCCCAGCACUGUCCUCACACAGCACGACACAGAGCCAGGACAACGAGGAUAAACAGAUUCAAGAUUUCUUUCCUGGUUGAUUGGAUAUUGUGGAAUCAAUGACACAAAGUACUGCGGCUGUUUCGGAGCUAAGGUAGGAGCGGCACAGGAUAAAUAUGGUGUUCCUAAUAAAUUGCUUGUGCCCUCUCUUACUCCCAUUGGAGCUUCUGUACAGAGAUAGAGCCCUGAACGAGACAGGCGUAUUGGACUGUGUUUUGUUGACCUUGACUUCUCGGAGGACUUCCUCUUCUGCUCCGGUCUUGGUUUCUCUGUCACUAGUCGUCACGGCAAAGGGGUCAAAAUAAGCUGCUUCCACAAACGACCUACAAAUAGUUGUUAAGCCUGAGUAUCGCUUUUCUCCAUCCUCUCUAUAAUUAUCUAUCUGGGAGGCAGUGGGGAGCCGGAGAGGUUGAAGGUAAGUGUAUUUACUGCAUCACGCUGACAAUAACAUUGGCUGAGCCAUUGAUUUUAUUUCCUUCUUUUUCCUUUAAGGGAUUUAAGAAAGUAAAAUAAAAGUUCGACGUAUAUAUUUGGGGGGGGGGGGUCUGUUAUUCAAUUGGUAUUUCCUGCAAAGAAAAUGCCAAAAAAAGAACAUUAAUGAUUGAUAUUGACUAUGUGAUUGCAGGAUCCAGGUAUUUGUAUUAGAGUUUGUGAACCUAAUUGUACAAGACCUCUUUGAGAAAACAAACCGCAGGUAUUUAUGUAUGUAUGUAUGUAUUUAUGAAUGUGGAAUCAGUAUUAUUAGAUUAUUAAAAGUGCCAAACCUCCUCUGUACCGGCCAGUUUAUUAGGUACACCUAGAUAAGGCUAAUAAAGUUUAAAGUCAGGUGUUAAUGUUAAGAUUUUUGUUUCUGAUCUGUUUUUUAGUGUUAUCUGUCCAUCCCAUAUGAAUGAGUAUUGAAUCAAUAUUACAGUACAGUAUAUAUAUAUAUAUAUAUAUAUAUAUAGUGUGUAUACAGUAUUGAACUUUUGACUUUAGGUGUACCAAAUGAAAUGCCAAGUCUUAAUAUAUGAAUAGACAGGUUAACAAAAACUAAUAUUGAUUAGAAAUUCUAUAAUGUUAUGUAAAUAUCUCAUAUAAUGAGGAAUUAUAUCAGAAUACAUAGUCAAAUGCUCAGCAGUGAAAAGUGACUUAUUUAAAUUUGUAGACUUAAUUUUACUUUCAGUUAUAGUCAGACUUUGAUUUAAAUCAUUGUCUAAAUAUGAGGAUGCGUCGCUCUGUGUAGUGAUCUCUCCCUUUAUCCAGCUGCUCUGCACUGUGCUUUCAUUAUCAUGAUUAUUGUCUCAUUUUCUCACAAAGGUUAAAUGAGAGGCGGGAGGUUACUGCAAGGCUGGUUUCACAGUAAGCUACUGUACAGUCCUCGACUGAAAUUGCACUUUCAAGUCUUCAGGAGGCAUAAGAAAUCUCUUUCACACCUCAAUGAUCGUUGUGGCAGGUGUGGAGGCAGAGCAGACGCGCGCGACCAAGGAGAAACACCCCCACACGGUGCACACUUGAUCAAUAAAGUACAUUUAACAAAAUGUUUCGAUCGUUCCAGUCAAAAGACGUUCAGAUCGUUGUGUGAAGUGUUAUUCAUUGAGCUAGUCUUGAGGAGCAAAGUAACCUUUUGAGUUGUGCACAAAAAUAGUUUGUCAUUUGAGGUAAUGUAAGUUGAUCGGGGGGAUCCAGUGUUGGAUCCAGAAUUUGUCAAGAGGUUAGGUAGUGUAGAUUGUGAAUUGUUUUUACAUUUCUUUUUGUCAAGAAGGACCCCCAUACCUCCCACCGAUUGGCUGUUUUGUUUUUUUACAUAACCAGGCAUUAAUAGUAGUGAUAAUAAAUGUAUCAGUUAAAUGAACUGUUUUAUUAUUAUUAGUCAUUAUGUAAUUCAUCCAUAGUGCAGUAAGUCAAUUCAGCAUUUCACAGCAGUGUCACAAAAACAGUAAUUUCAGGUUUAUAUUUAUUCAAUUAUUACAUUAGCCUUUUAUGAAUUAAGCCAUGCUCAGAUCAUGGACUGUUAAUGUGUAGCAUUGUGCGCAUUUACAGGAUAGCACGGGGCACAGCUAUCUAGUAACUUUUAGUAGUGGCAUAUAACGUUAAGAAAUGUAACUUGUAAAAGAUGAUAUUUAAGUGUGCCAGAAUUUCGAGGUCAUCCCCGCCAUGCUGUCAAGAAUCCAUUUAAAAGUCGCAUUGCAUUUGUACAAUGUCAACACUGAAAAGCAGCUGA